rnacentral:rRNA from 1 species
AGUUUGAUUAUGGCUCAGAUUGAACGCUGGCGGGAUGCUUUACACAUGCAAGUCGAACGGCAGCACGGACUUCAGUCUGGUGGCGAGAGUGGCGAACGGGUGAGUAAUGUAUCGGAACGUGCCUGGUAGCGGGGGAUAACUACGCGAAAGCGUAGCUAAUACCACAUACGCCCUUCGGGGGAAAGCGGGGGACCUUCGGGCCUCGCACUAUUUAAACGGCGAUAUCGGAUUAGCUAGUUGGUGGAAUAACGGCUCGCAAGGCGACGAUCCGUAGCUGGUUUGAGAGGACGACCAGCCACACUGGGACUGAGACACGGCUGAACUCCACCACGGGGAGGCAGCAGUGGGAAUUUUGGACAAUGGAAACCCUGAUCCAGCCAUCCCGCGUGUGCGAUGAAGGCCUUCAGGUUGUAAAGCACUUUUGGCAGGAAAAGAAACAGCACGGGAUAAUACCCCGUGCAACUGACGACACCUGCAGAAUAAGCACCGGCUAACUACGUGCAACAGCCGCGAGUAAUACGUAGGGUGCAAAGCGUUAAUCGGAAUUACUGGGCGUAAAGCGUGCGCAGGCGGUUCGGAAGAAGAUGUGAAAUCCCAGGCUUAACUUUGGAACUGCAUUUUUAACUACCGAGCUAGAGUGUGUCAGAGGAAGUGGAAUUCCGCGUGUAGCAGUGAAAUGUGAUGUGCGGAGGAACACCGAUGGCGAAGGCAGCCUCCUGGGAUAACACUGACGCUCAUGCACGAAAGCGUGGGAGCAAACAGGAUUAGAUACCUGGUGAUCACGCCUAAACGAUGUCAACUAGCUGUUGGGGCCUUCGGGCCUUGGUAGCGCAGCUAACGCGUGAAGUUGACCACCUGGGGAAGUACGGUCGCAAGAUUAAAACUCAAAGGAAUUGACGGGGACCCGCACAAGCGGUGGAUGAUGUGGAUUAAUUCGAUGCAACGCGAAAAACCUUACCUACCCUUGACAUGUCUGGAAUCCCGAAGAGAUUUGGGAGUGCUCGCAAGAGAACGGAACACAGGUGCUGCAUGGCUGUCGUCAGCUCGUGUCGUGAGAUGUUGGGUUAAGUCCGCAACGAGCGCAACCCUUGUCAUUAGUUGCUACGAAAGGGCACUCUAAUGAGACUGCCGGUGACAAACCGGAGGAAGGUGGGGAUGACGUCAAGUCCUCAUGGCCCUUAUGGGUGGGGCUUCACACGUCAUACAAUGGUCAGGACGGGGGUCGCCAACCCGCGAGGAGCCAAUCCCAGAAACCCGAUCGUAGUCGGACCGCAGUCUGCAACUCGACUGCGUGAAGUCGGAAUCGCUAGUAAUCGCGGAUCAGCAUGUCGCGGUGAAUACGUUCCCGGGUCUUGUACACACCGCCCGUCACACCAUGGGAGUGGGUUUUACCAGAAGUAGUUAGCUAACCGUAAGGAGGGCGAUUCUACGGUAGGAUUCAUGACUGGGGUGAAGUCGUAACAAGGUAG